rnacentral:rRNA from 1 species
UACGGAGGAUGCGAGCGUUAUCCGGAUUUAUUGGGUUUAAAGGGUGCGUAGGUGGCAGGGCAAGUCAGAUGUGAAAGCCCGGGGCCCAACCCCGGUACUGCAUUUGAAACUGUCCGGCUGGAGUGCAGGAGAGGUAAGCGGAAUUCCUAGUGUAGCGGUGAAAUGCGUAGAUAUUAGGAGGAACACCAGAGGCGAAGGCGGCUAACUGGACUGUAACUGACGCUGAGGCACGAAAGUGUGGGGAGCAAACAGG